CUCAUUUCUCCCCAACUGUCUCCCCACCUUCACCACCUAAAUAAAAGCUUUCUUUUUCCACUUUUUCCACUGCCCUCAUCUUUGCCUCCCAAGACAGAAGCUGAAUUUGUGAAUUCAAGUCUUGAAGCUUGAUGGGGAAGACAAGAGAGAAAGCAAGAACUGGAGAAGCAAAGAAGGAAAUUUGCAAAGGAAAAAAUCAAGGCUGUCCUUAGAUGACUCCCCUUAUGGUCAUGGGACAACUGCAGCAGUACGUACAGGCACCUCAAGAGCUAGCACAAAAAGAAGGCAACUCUAAGUGUUGCUUUACGAGAACAAAGGCUGUUUCCUGGAAGUACAUCCAGAAGACUCACCUGAGUUUCUUGUUGACCAGAGCUACAUCCGGUGCUCAUGGAACAGGACACCCAUAAGAGGCUUAAUCAGGACAUUAGACAAAGAAAUGUGUCCAGCUUCCCCUAAAGUAUAUGGCCACUCUUAGAAAUGUGGAUACCUGCAGGAAUUAAGAGUCAAGGAUGAAAGGGAAAGAAGAAGAAAUAAUUGGAAAGCAACCAGUAGUGCCUGUCACAGCUGGAGCAUGUUCCUAGGUGUAAAUCAAAUUUGGCUCUCAACAGUACAGAGGAGUAUUCCCAUGAUCAAACUGAAAAUCCUUAAUAAAGCAAAGAACUAUUUCAUUAAUCAUGUGUCCUUAAUAUAAACCCAGAUCAUCAUAUAUAAGAUUUAUUUAAAAAGCACAACUAAAAAAGCACAAUUUAUUCAGUUGGUUACAAUCUACAUCAAAGUAACAAACUUUGGGAAUUUUUCCUCUAAAUUAUCCCUUGGCAAUUAACAACCUUAUUAAUUAGAAACUGUUAACACUCCACAGAUGAGAAAAUUUAGGCUCAGAUAAACUGACAUUUGUGAUUCUCAAAGUAUGGUCUCUGGAUCAACAGUAUUAACACCAUCUGGAAACAUUAAAAAUGCAAAUUUGGGGCUCUAUCUCAGACCCACUUAAUCACAAUCUUUGAGAACAGCGCCUUGUAAUCCAUGGUUCAGCAAGCCUUCCAGGUGAUUCUAAUACACUAACAAGUUUAAGAACCACUGCCCCAAGUAGCAAUUGGAUUUGAACACAGGUUGUCUCAUUUCCACAGCCUGUUCAUUUAAUCAGUUUGCUAAACUGCCUCCCAG
rnacentral:lncRNA from 10 species